AGUUUGAUCCUGGCUCAGGAUGAACGCUGGCGGUAUGCUUAACACAUGCAAGUCGAACGGUGUCUUCGGACACAGUGGCGGACGGGUGAGUAACGCGUGAGAAUCUGCCAUCAGGUCUGGGACAACCACUGGAAACGGUGGCUAAUACCGGAUGUGCCGAGAGGUGAAAGGUUAACUGCCUGAUGAUGAGCUCGCGUCUGAUUAGCUAGUUGGCAGUGUAAUGGACUACCAAGGCGACGAUCAGUAGCUGGUCUGAGAGGAUGAUCAGCCACACUGGGACUGAGACACGGCCCAGACUCCUACGGGAGGCAGCAGUGGGGAAUUUUCCGCAAUGGGCGAAAGCCUGACGGAGCAAUACCGCGUGAGGGAGGAAGGCUCUUGGGUCGUAAACCUCUUUUCUCAGGGAAGAACACAAUGACGGUACCUGAGGAAUAAGCAUCGGCUAACUCCGUGCCAGCAGCCGCGGUAAUACGGAGGAUGCAAGCGUUAUCCGGAAUGAUUGGGCGUAAAGCGUCCGCAGGUGGCUAUGUAAGUCUGCUGUUAAAGCGUCUAGCUCAACUAGAUAAAAGCAGUGGAAACUACAAGGCUAGAGUGCGUUCGGGGCAGAGGGAAUUCCUGGUGUAGCGGUGAAAUGCGUAGAGAUCAGGAAGAACACCGGUGGCGAAGGCGCUCUGCUAGGCCGCAACUGACACUGAGGGACGAAAGCUAGGGGAGCGAAUGGGAUUAGAUACCCCAGUAGUCCUAGCCGUAAACGAUGGAUACUAGGCGUGGCUUGUAUCGACCCGAGCCGUGCCGUAGCUAA
rnacentral:rRNA from 1 species